GAUGAAGAACGUAGCGAAAUGCGAUACGUAAUGUGAAUUGCAGAAUUCAGUGAAUUAUCGAAUCUUUGAACGCAUAUUGCGCUCUUUGGUAUUCCGAAGAGCAUGCUUGUUUGAGUAUCAGUAAACACCUCAAAGACUUCAAUUUGUUUUGAAUGGCUUUGGACUUGAGCAAUCCCAACACCAGUCUUUACGAUCGGUGGAGGGUUGCUUGAAAUGCAGGUGCAGCUGGACAUUCUCCUGAGCUAAAAGCAUAUUUAUUUAGUCCCGUCAAACGGAUUAUUACUUUUGCUGCAGCUAACAUAAAGGGAGUUUGACCGUAUUGGCUGACUGAUGCAGGAUUUCACAAGGGUCGGCAACGAUUCUUGUAAAACUCGAUCUCAAAUCAAGUAAGACUACCCGCUGAACUUAAGCAUAUCAAUAAGCGGAGGA
rnacentral:misc_RNA from 1 species